GGGCCCGUAGCUCAGCGGUAGAGCAUUCGGCUCAUAACCGACCGCGCGCAGGUUCGAAUCCCGCCGGGCCCACCA
rnacentral:tRNA from 1 species